ensembl:lncRNA
CAGAAUGAGACAUAUUCCCAUGACAACUGGCAAUACAAACACCAUGCUAAUUCUUAUCAUUAAGGGAUGAGGGUAAUGUAGAGCAGCCACUCUCACACACCGUGUGAUAAAGGAGAAGUCACAAUGUGUCUCAAAUAGAAUACAUUGACCUUACAGGAGGUAUUGUAUUACAGAUGAUCUGGCAUACAAACUAAGGGUACUGUCCAUUCACAUCAGCCAAAUGAAUCCAUAAAGAGUCCUCUGUGUGUCUCAUGAGCUCUUCUCCUACAUAAUAUGAUAAGCCUAAUUGAAUUACAGCCUUUGUAAUCAUACAGGUUACAGUAUGUAUUACAGUAAAUAUGGUUGAAAGAGAAUAUCAGGGCAAAUUACCUGAGUGUCUUUACCUUAACUCAAUUGAUUGUGCGUCCUCGCUCUCUCAUUGCAUUAGGUUCCCCCUAUCGACAGGACAGGAUGGCACUUCUCGAUUACCCUAUUCCAGAGCUAGAUGUCACCUUACAAGAGGCAAGCCGUGUGCUCCAGCUCACCCUGAGCCCCGAGCUCUACCCUCAAUUCAAAAAUACCCUUAGCCAACAGAGGGAGGUCCUGCAGGAGGCCCAAAAGUGCUUGGCGGCUGCUGCCUCUGGCCGAGAGAACUGGGUGACAGAGCAAUUCAAGAGCCGGCUGCUUUCAUGUACCGACCCCCUGCCCACCUCGACAGCCAUCCCCGCUGUCUUGCCCCCCUCCAGAGCCAGGAAGGAGUGUGCCCAACUGGAGAGGGCUGCUGCUCUGCUCUGGGCUGUGGCCAAGAUGUAUAGUGAGCCUUCGCUGGUAGAGGGUGAGGGGCAAACUGAGCGCACACAGCAAUCAGAGGUGUUUGCUGCCAGCCGCAUUCCUGGGAAGACCCAAGAUGAGAUUAAAGUAUACCAAGACUGCCUCCAUGCCAUCGUAAUCUGUGCUAGAGGGGUAUUUUCAGUCAACAUACUGCAGCAUCCCAGCCCAGGCGGGCCUAUGUCCCCUCUACCGUUCCCUGACAUCUACAGCCAAGUGGUUCAUGUGAUGAGCCAACAUAGAGCUGCCAAGAACAACAAGGCCUCUGCCAUCUGCGGCCUCUCUGCCCUGCAGCGGCAAGCCUGGAGUGCUGUGAGGGAGGAGAUCCUGAGAGCAGGUGGGGCAGCGGCCGCCUCACUGGGGUUGAUGGAGAGUGCUGUGGUGGCUCUCUCCCUGGAAGACUGCAAUGCACCAGCUGAUCUGGCAGACACCCUUAAUGCUGUCAGACUGGGAGGAGGAGAUGGGCCCUGUCUGAGAUACUAUGACAAGGUACAGUAUGGGAUGUUUGUGGUACUGUAAUUGUGGAUGACAACUACUACAAUACAGUACAGUGAUGCCGUAGUGAAUCAACUGGAUUCAUCAGGUUACCGGAUGAGGAUAUGGACUUGAUUUUUGGUACUGACAUAAAUAUACCCUAGACAAUGGAGUGAAAUCAAUUUUUCAAUAUUGAAUCAAAUUGUAAGUGGAUCUUUACUGCACAUCAGACAUACGUAAUUGCACCAAACAAAAUUCAGUUUAUUAACUCACUGACACAAGACUUGAAAACAUAGGUUCCUCUUCCUCUUUUUCUACAGGUGGUGAACCUGGUGGUAU